AUGUUACUUGCGCAAACGACGGGAUGCAAUCGUCUUAUUAGUAAUUCGGAUAAUCUGGAGGUGAUUGAUACCAUGAAGGAUGGAGGACGAUCGACGGGCGCGGCAGCACCAAUAUUUGAUGAUUUCUUUCAUUUUGUUUAUGAUUUUCCUAUUGCUAGGUUCGAACACUGUAACAGAUAAGCAAAUAAAGUUGCUCACGAGCUUGCUAGAUUAACUAGAUUUUCUUUGACUUUUUUAAGGUUGAUUUUCUUUGACUUCUGA
rnacentral:rRNA from 1 species